CUCUCCAGGACCAGUUCCUGAGCCAAAGCAGGAGACUGUCCACCUCUCCAGGACCAGUUCCUGAGCCGAGGCAGGCAGGAGGCUGGCCUGGCAUGCUGGGGAGAAGUAUUAAAUUGCCUUUGACGUUAGUACCUCGCUGAACUUACGCUGUGGCUCCAACGUGCAGAUUUCUGCCUUAUCCCCCAGACGUGGCCUUGAUUUUGAACCGAGUUCUAUUCAAUACAACGGAAAUGCUAUCUGGAUGACAGUGGUGGACCCGAUUCCCGCACCCAGUUCUCCCGAAUCAGAUCUACUUGAAGGGGAGGUAGGACUUCAUUCUUGCUAUUUUCUUAGGCUUCCCAGAAACAAUGACAUUUUCUG
rnacentral:lncRNA from 1 species